rnacentral:lncRNA from 1 species
GUAUUUGCAUCACCUUUGCUGUAUUAAUUUGAUACAUCUUUCACUUCAAAUCAUUCACAGCAUUUGCAUUCAUUUAGGUUCACUAAACAUUUCACACCUGUGUCACUUGAUGGAUUUGGGAAUAAAAUACCUUGCCAAUGGUUGUCGAAGAAUCAAAAGCUCAGACUUUGCCGCAACCAUUUCAAGUUUUCAUUGGUUCUCAGUUUUAUGCUGAAGUCAUGGAAACGUUAUACGACUUUACACUCUCCUAGAUAAAAAAAAUUUCACCAUUAUAAAUUCUAUAAUGGAAUUUGGUGAUUCACUUCUCUUUUCCUUUAUAUCAUAAUGUUGUUUGCAUUUCUUGCACCACUAAUCUGAUCUGGGUUGUUCUCUUUUGUGUGAGCAAUGAAGCUAUGGCAGCAUUUGUAGAAAGUUCUAGAUAGUUUCUGGAGGAACUCUUGCUGAAUAAUGAGACGAAGGUAUGAAAUACAUGGAGUUAUUUAAGUCAUUCUACCUAAGACGAGAAUUUGCUGUAAGUUUAUUAACAUCAGCAAUUUAACACUCUAUUCCUAUCGACCUAUUUGUUUGAUGCUUACGAUGAGCCAUAAUAAUUAGGUCG